rnacentral:rRNA from 1 species
UGAACGCUGGCGGCGUGCCUACUACAUGCAAGUAGAACGCUGAAGGAGGAGCUUGCUCUUCUGGCUGAGUUGCGAACGGGUGAGUAACGCGUAGGUAACCUGCCUGGUAGCGGGGGAUAACUAUUGGAAACGAUAGCUAAUACCGCAUGACAACAGUUAUUGCAUGAUAACUGUUUAAAAGGGGCAACUGCUCCACUACCAGAUGGACCUGCGUUGUAUUAGCUAGUUGGUGAGGUAACGGCUCACCAAGGCGACGAUACAUAGCCGACCUGAGAGGGUGAUCGGCCACACUGGGACUGAGACACGGCCCAGACUCCUACGGGAGGCAGCAGUAGGGAAUCUUCGGCAAUGGACGGAAGUCUGACCGAGCAACGCCGCGUGAGUGAAGAAGGGUUUCGGAUCGUAAAGCUCUGUUGUAAGAGAAGAACGAGUGUGAGAGUGGAAAGUUCACACUGUGACGGUAGCUUACCGGAAAGGGACGGCUAACUACGUG